AGGUGACCUUGAGCAAGUCAAUCAUGUCCUCUGUUUACACAUACGCUCUCAUACAUGCAUACAUACAGACACCCAGCUCUCCCUGCUCAUAAAAGGACACAGGCAGCCUUGGACUCUGAGAGAUUGUGAAGAUGGAUGAGUGGGGCCCAGCUUGGAGAGAUCAGUCCCUGGAGGAGGAUUGUGUGUCCAUUUUACAGCUGGAGAAGCCGAGAUCCAGAAAGGACCCCCAAGUUGUGGGCAGAAUAAAUCUACAGCAGCUUUUAACUAUUAAACCAACUUAGAUUUUGGUA
rnacentral:lncRNA from 1 species